rnacentral:miRNA from 1 species
CUAAGGGUGAUUAUUCUGCCA